rnacentral:lncRNA from 1 species
UCUUUCCUUACAGAGCCCCACAGGCAGCCCCGUGCAGGCCCUGCCAGUGAGUCCAGGGUUUUAUUUCAAGCCGUCCUUCCCCGUCAAGCUCAUCGCCUGCGUUUGGCCACACACUCGCAGCUCUCCGAGCACAGCUGGUUUUUUCCUCUUUGUUUACUCUUUCAACAAAAGCUGGAUUCUAGACCAAGCUGUUAAGUCCUGGAGAUGCAGAAAGGAACAAGACAAACACAGGCUCAGCCCUCCAAAGCUUUCAGCCCUGAUCUGCGCCUGACAGACUGUGUCUUGUUCCCCAUCUAUCUUCCUUAACACAGCCCACCAGGGCAGGGCUUUGUCGAUUUUGUUCACGGCUGUUUCUCCAGUGACUGUCCCUCAAAAGAGGCUCAACAAACAGUGAAGGGAUGAACGGACGGAAAAAGGUUCUUGUGUGCGAAUGCCAUUCCUGCCCUAUGCCAGCUGAGUGAGCUUGGCUGAGUUAUUGCUCCUCUCUGAGCCUCAGUUUCUUUUUCUGAAAACAGAAACAAGACCGACCACAAAGUGACUGAGCCAGUUAACCCAGGCAAGAGGUGAGAACACCUGUUCCCCCCGGGGGAGACGAUGAGCAUCACCUCCCUCCGCCCUUUCUCCCCACAGCCUCUGAUUUAAUGCAGGGGAGGGCGGUGGGGGUCAUCUGAGCCUGUCCAGGCAGGAGCAGGUUCCUUUCCACUCCGCCCGCCCCAGCCUGGUCCCAGGGGCUCACGCAGCCGAGCAGAGCAGGAGAGAUGGGCUGAAACAGGCUGGAUUGAUUUCCUGCCUUCCCAGCAAAGUGCUCUAAGAUGGUGUACAUCCAUCACCUCAUUUUCCUCACGAAGACCAGGUGACAACCCAGAUGGACGGAGAUGCAUGAGCCUCUCCCUGGUAUGAAAAUCUAAUCCCGAGCAUUCAGUGGGGAAGUGGGACAAAAUCAAGGACAGGCAAGAUAGAAAGAAGGAGGGCAGAAAGGAAGAAAGGCUGGCCUACCUCUGGAUGAGCCUGGGGGAGAAGACCCACCAGCAGCUGAUGCGAACACACCCAUGGCCAUUGCCAGGAGCCUCCGGUCUCAAUGGGGAUGGUGACACCUAGACUACUGGGCAACGACCCUGGGGUUUCUAGCCCAAUUCAGGGAUGGGAAAUGAGAAGUCUCUCCCCUAUCCACCUUCCUGCUGCCCCCCUUCUGCCAAGAGGUGCAUCCAGCACACAUUUAACUCCAAUUUCAACUUAAACUGCAGCUGCCGUCCUGCCUGGGGACCCCUAUCUUUUUACAUGUUAUUGUAGAUCAGUGGCCCGCUGCUGCAAUCAAGAACUCUCGAUGGGCUGUCUGGAAUUUCUAAAUCAGCGCUGCCGAGAGCCCGGCGGAUCAAGCAGGCGGGCUCCCCGGCGGGGGUGAGAAGUGCUCAACUCCAGCAGACGACUGCGAGGCCCUGGGCUCCUGAGAGCAGCCCCCAAAGGUCAGCUCAAGGAGGAGACUGGCCUCCCUGCUCUGAGGGCAACGGAUGCACACUGUGGCCUCAGGGGCUCCCCCAGCAUCCUUUAGCCCAGAUGCUAAACAACUCAUCAGCCUUCUCUAAUGACUUUGGUUCCCAGCAUUGUCCUUGCAAUUACGGGGCAGAGACGAGAGGGGCAGAUGGUCAGGUAUUCGAUCAGCCAUCAUCGAACUGAAGCACUCAGACCCCUGGGGUACAUAGUGACUUUCUAGGGUUCACAGGCACAGACAGUUUGCAGAUAAUCGAUUUCCAGACCUUUGACUGACGUGCGUGCUCCGUGGGUUCUUCCUUUCCACAUCCUCUUUUACAAAUGCCCUUCUUCCACUUUAUAAAAGAAGGAUUGAUCAGUCGGGACUCCAGCAGGAAACAGAUGGCACACCCACAUUUGCUAAUUUCAGGCUAGGUUCAUAAAGGCACGACACAGAACCUGCAGGCAAGAUGAAGGGAAAUUACAAAGGACAGG